UACAGAGGGUGCAAGCGUUAAUCGGAAUUACUGGGCGUAAAGCGCGCGUAGGUGGUUCGUUAAGUUGGAUGUGAAAUCCCCGGGCUCAACCUGGGAACUGCAUCCAAAACUGGCGAGCUAGAGUAUGGUAGAGGGUGGUGGAAUUUCCUGUGUAGCGGUGAAAUGCGUAGAUAUAGGAAGGAACACCAGUGGCGAAGGCGACCACCUGGACUGAUACCGACACUGAGGUGCGAAAGCGUGGGGAGCAAACAGG
rnacentral:rRNA from 1 species